GGAUACACGUUCUAGAACAGAUAUUCCUAAUUCAGGAGCUGAUUGCAGAAAAAAGAAUGCCCAUUUCUGAACUCAGCUGAGAGCAAUCAGUGCUAAUCCACCACGUGUACCAGCUUCCCGCGGAUGCCGAAGUGGUCCCAGAAUCCUCUGUCCGCAGGCGCCAUCAGGGUUUCUCUCCCGAACUCCGUGGGUCUCCGCUCCUCGUCACGCUUCUCGCCCUCACAGGGAGACAAGGAGACAAAUAAAGAAAAGUUCCUCAGGCAUUGUCUAGCUUUGCAUCAAGUCAAUUUCCAGGAGGGCUGAAUCUUAAAUUUGAAGAUGCUGAGCACCAGAGGAAUUAAGAAUACAGUCGUCUUGUAUCCAGUGUCAUGGAUAGCUACUUAAAAUCUCCUGGACAGAGUUUGCAGAUAUAUAUUUUGAAAAUCUUACUCUCAGUAUUUAUUUCAACUCUUUCGGUAAAUUUUAGAGUUUAAAAAAAUAGAAGAAGAAGGAGAAGAAAACGGUGGCUCUCACUGCUGGAGCGAGGCGGAAGGAGCACGGGAAGAUGGCGCCGGCCCCCCGGCCUCCUCUAGGAAGGCACCUGUAGGUGCCCACACACCGGAUGCCUGUCCUCAGGCCGACGGGGCCAGACCAGCAAAUGACCCUCCUUCAGUCUGGACGCCUCUCCUUUAGCCGCUUGUGUGCUGGACCCUGGAGCAGUUGCUCCUGCCACAGCCCCAGUGCAACUGCUGCAUGAGGACUUCAACAUAGUAACCACUAGAAAGCCCUUACAAUGCUGCUGCUGCUGCUGCUACUGCUAAGUCGCUUCAGGCAUGUCCGACUCUGUGCGACCCCAUAGACGGCAGCCCACUAGGCUCCCCCGUCCCUGGGAUUCUCCAGGCAAGAACACUGAAGUGGGUUGCCAUUUCCUUCUCCAAUGCAUGAAAGUGAAAAGUGAAAGUGAAGUUGCUCAGUCGUGUCCAACUCUUCGCAACCCCAUGGGCUGCGGCCUACCAGGCUCCUCUGUCCAUGGGAUUUUCCAGGCAAGAGUACUGGAGUGGGGUGCCAUCGCCUUCUCUGUACAGUGCUGCUGCCAUCCAAUAUUCUUUAGCCACCAGGACUAGCAAGACAGACUCAAGCUACAGGC
ensembl:lncRNA